CGCCACUUCCGGGUCCAAGCCACGACAACCUCCUCCGCCUCUCAGUGUAAACAAACCAAAUUUAUCUUGUCUCUAUACAUUGAUGAAGUACAUACACAGAUUUGAACAGGGUUUGUGUGUACAUCAAGUAGACAUGCUCCAGGAUGGCAUUGCAACGAGUACAGCUACACUUUCUAUGAUGUCAAAGAAACUCAGAAGAAUUUGUGUUAAAAGUUUGAAAAAGCACCAGAACAGGGAAGAAGCAGAAAGUGGGGGGAGUUAACAUCCCCGUUGGCAUUGAUGAGAGCAAGUUCUGCCACAAACGCAAGUAUGGAAGAGGAUGCUUUGGUAACACCUGGAGAAGAAAGAGAUCAUGGGUAUUUGGUAUACUCGAGAUCAAUGCUGCAAGCAGACGUCCCAUUCUUGGCCUUGUGAAGAAAAGAAACAAGGAGACCCUUGUUCCCAUCAUUAAGAAACAUGUAAAGCUUCAAAGUUUAGUUGUGAGCGAUGAGUGGAGAGCACAUUCCAGUCUUUCCCAAGAAGGUUACAGUCAUGUCAGGGCUAACCACAGCCAGAAUUACAUCGAUCCACAAACAGGACUACAUACUCAACACAUUGAGAGGGCAUGGCAGACAUACAAGAUAACCCAUGAAUCCUUGCAGAACAUUUUAUUCAUAAAUGUAAGUUUAUGAAUGUUAAUCCACACUUCCUGGUCUUUUUGAAAGAGCUUUCCAUAUUUUUUAAUACUUUAAAAGGUAUCAAAGCUAAAAAUGCACAGUGUCUUUAUGAGCAUUUGGGAGACCCCAUGAAAUAGAAAUUCUAAGUUUUUUUUUCUUCUGGAAUUUGACUGUUUCUUUUAUUUCCCCCUUUAACUGGCUAUCUAUGCUUGUUUUGUUUUCUUUCUUUUCUUUUGAUGUUUUGUUGGGAUUUUUUUUUUUUUUGAAAUGGGGCAAUAUGCAUUAAUGGACAUUUAUAUGCAAAUGCAUGGGA